GCAGAAUGGCUCAGUCGCUGGAGCAUGAGACUCUUAAUCUCAGCUUCAUGGGUUCAUGCCCCACGUUGGGCA